CCUAUCGUGGCGCAACGGAACAGUCUCUGACUGUAAAUGAGAUGGUUGUGGGUGCGAUUCCCACCUGGAAUA
rnacentral:tRNA from 1 species